rnacentral:rRNA from 1 species
AUUGAACGCUGGCGGCAGGCCUAACACAUGCAAGUCGAACGAGUGGCGGACGGGUGUGUAAUGUCUGGGAAACUGCCUGAUGGAUGGGGAUAACUACUGGAAACGGUAGCUAAUACCGCAUACCAUCGGAUGUUCCCAGAUGGGAUUAGCUAGUAGGUGGGGUAACGGCUCACCUAGGCGACGAUCCCUAGUUGGUCUGAGAGGAUGACCAGCCACACUGGAACUGAGACACUGUCCAGACUCCUACGGGAGGCAGCAGUGGGGAAUAUUGCACAAUGGGCGAAAGCCUGAUGCAGCCAUGCCGCGUGUAUGAAGAAGGCCUUCGGGUUGUAAAGUACUUUCAGCGAGGAGGCGUUACUCGCAGAAGAAGCACCGGCUAACUCCGUGCCAGCAGCCGCGGUAAUAC